rnacentral:sRNA from 1 species
GCAGCAGGUUCGAGCCGAACGCAGUGAGGCACCGGAGCCGUUUACGGCGACGGCCCGAAGGGCGAGCGAAGCGAGUCAUCCUGCACGACCCACCA